UUGGCGAAGUCUAGUUCUGCCGUGUGUCAAAAUGGCAUGUCCGUUUAUUAACGAUCCAGUAGAUGAAGGAGCAGCAUUACUGCACACAGAAUUAAAUAUUCGUCGGGAGAUUGUUUUCAGACCGCGCAUAGAUGUUUUGGCGUUUCCGGACAGUUAUCUUUUUGAACGGUACCGUUUCACAUCACAAUCCAUAACCGACAUCCACAACCUAAUCCGUCCUUACAUUCACAACUUUACCAACCGCAGUCAUGCUCUAACGUCCCAUCAGAUGUUGUGUGUUGCGCUGCGGUUCUUUGCAAAUGGGAGUUUUUUAUACAACGUCGGAGAUGCAGAGCACCUCAGUAAGACAACUGUAUGCAGAGCGGUCAGAAAAGUGUGUCUGGCCCUGAAACGACUUUUACCGAUCUUUGUCGUUUUCCCUGGACAUAAACCUGUCAGAGCCAUCAAGGAGGAGUUCCACAGGAUUGCAGGAUUUCCCAGUGUGAUUGGCUGCAUUGAUGGCACACACAUCCCCAUCACAGCUCACAGCUCCCUCACAUAAUGAAGCUGAUUAUGUGAAUAGGAAGUCCAUUCACAGCAUAAAUGUGCAGGUAGGUUAGAGGUAGAUUGACUACGGUUUCAAAAUGUUAAAGACUGCAUCAUAGUUCAACAUCAGUCAUUCUCUGCACUGUCAAGAUCAUAUGUGAUGCUGCAUACAUUAUUUCCAAUGUGGAGGCCAAGUGGCCUGGGUCUGUUCAUGACUCGAGGAUUUUUCGAGAGUCUAACCUGAGCAACAGACUGCAACGUGGUAGGCAUCCUAAAGAUUUUCACAACUUAAUUCACUUGUCUCCCUCCUUUAAUAUACUCCAAUGUAUCCACUAUACAUUACAGGAGAGUUUGAUGGCCUUCUGCUGGGUGACAGGGGUUACCAUGCCAACCUAGUCUGAUGACCCCAUACCCUGACCCUGAACCAGACCCCCAACAGAACUUCAACCGGGCUCACUGCAAGACGAGAGCCCUGGUGGAGGUGACCAUAGACCUGCUGAAAGCCUGUUUCCAGUGCUUACGUCACCUCAGGGUGACCCCUGAGAGGGCCUGUGAUAUUAUUGUGGCAUGUGUUGUUCUUCAUAAUAUUGCCACUAUUAGAGGAGAGCAACACCCUGCCGUACAAUUUGAAGACCCAGAUGAUGACCUCAUCCACCUGCCAGCUAUCCAGGAUGGCAGAGCAGUCAGAGACACUAUAUGCAAGAAUCACUUCAGAGUUUAAGUCUCCAUCAUCACCACCACAGCAGUCAAAUAAACACAUGAUACACAUUU